rnacentral:rRNA from 1 species
UACGUAGGGUGCGAGCGUUGUCCGGAAUUAUUGGGCGUAAAGAGCUCGUAGGCGGUUUGUCGCGUCUGCUGUGAAAACUCGGGGCUUAACUCCGGGCCUGCAGUGGGUACGGGCAGACUAGAGUGCGGUAGGGGAGAAUGGAAUUCCUGGUGUAGCGGUGAAAUGCGCAGAUAUCAGGAAGAACACCCGUGGCGAAGGCGGUUCUCUGGGACGACAACUGACGCUGAGACGCGAAAGCGUGGGGAGCAAACAGG